UAAUACAUGCAAGUCGAACGAACUCUGGUAUUGAUUGGUGCUUGCAUCAUGAUUUACAUUUGAGUGAGUGGCGAACUGGUGAGUAACACGUGGGAAACCUGCCCAGAAGCGGGGGAUAACACCUGGAAACAGAUGCUAAUACCGCAUAACAACUUGGACCGCAUGGUCCGAGCUUGAAAGAUGGCUUCGGCUAUCACUUUUGGAUGGUCCCGCGGCGUAUUAGCUAGAUGGUGGGGUAACGGCUCACCAUGGCAAUGAUACGUAGCCGACCUGAGAGGGUAAUCGGCCACAUUGGGACUGAGACACGGCCCAAACUCCUACGGGAGGCAGCAGUAGGGAAUCUUCCACAAUGGACGAAAGUCUGAUGGAGCAACGCCGCGUGAGUGAAGAAGGGUUUCGGCUCGUAAAACUCUGUUGUUAAAGAAGAACAUAUCUGAGAGUAACUGUUCAGGUAUUGACGGUAUUUAACCAGAAAGCCACGGCUAACUACGUGCCAGCAGCCGCGGUAAUACGUAGGUGGCAAGCGUUGUCCGGAUUUAUUGGGCGUAAAGCGAGCGCAGGCGGUUUUUUAAGUCUGAUGUGAAAGCCUUCGGCUCAACCGAAGAAGUGCAUCGGAAACUGGGAAACUUGAGUGCAGAAGAGGACAGUGGAACUCCAUGUGUAGCGGUGAAAUGCGUAGAUAUAUGGAAGAACACCAGUGGCGAAGGCGGCUGUCUGGUCUGUAACUGACGCUGAGGCUCGAAAGU
rnacentral:rRNA from 1 species